rnacentral:rRNA from 1 species
UACGUAGGGUGCAAGCGUUGUCCGGAAUUAUUGGGCGUAAAGAGCUCGUAGGCGGUCUGUUGCGUCGGCUGUGAAAACCCGGGGCUCAACCCCGGGCCUGCAGCCGAUACGGGCAGACUAGAGUUCGGCAGGGGAGACUGGAAUUCCUGGUGUAGCGGUGAAAUGCGCAGAUAUCAGGAGGAACACCGGUGGCGAAGGCGGGUCUCUGGACAGUUCCUGACGCUGAGGCACGAAGACCAGGGGAGCAAGCGGG